rnacentral:rRNA from 1 species
GACGAACGCUGGCGGCGUGCUUAACACAUGCAAGUCGAACGGAAAGGCCCUGCUUUUGUGGGGUGCUCGAGUGGCGAACGGGUGAGUAACACGUGAGUAACCUGCCCUUGACUUUGGGAUAACUUCAGGAAACUGGGGCUAAUACCGGAUAGGAGCUCCUGCUGCAUGGUGGGGGUUGGAAAGUUUCGGCGGUUGGGGAUGGACUCGCGGCUUAUCAGCUUGUUGGGGGGGUAGUGGCUUACCAAGGCUUUGACGGGUAGCCGGCCUGAGAGGGUGACCGGCCACAUUGGGACUGAGAUACGGACCAGACUCCUACGGGAGGCAGCAGUGGGGAAUAUUGCACAAUGGGCGGAAGCCUGAUGCAGCAACGCCGCGUGCGGGAUGACGGCCUUCGGGUUGUAAACCGCUUUCGCCUGUGACGAAGCGUGAGUGACGGUAAUGGGUAAAGAAGCACCGGCUAACUACGUG